AACGAACGCUGGCGGCAUGCCUAACACAUGCAAGUCGAACGAGACCUUCGGGUCUAGUGGCGCACGGGUGCGUAACGCGUGGGAAUCUGCCCUUGGGUACGGAAUAACAGUUAGAAAUGACUGCUAAUACCGUAUAAUGACUUCGGUCCAAAGAUUUAUCGCCCAGGGAUGAGCCCGCGUAGGAUUAGCUUGUUGGUGAGGUAAAGGCUCACCAAGGCGACGAUCCUUAGCUGGUCUGAGAGGAUGAUCAGCCACACUGGGACUGAGACACGGCCCAGACUCCUACGGGAGGCAGCAGUGGGGAAUAUUGGACAAUGGGCGCAAGCCUGAUCCAGCAAUGCCGCGUGAGUGAUGAAGGCCUUAGGGUUGUAAAGCUCUUUUACCCGGGAAGAUAAUGACUGUACCGGGAGAAUAAGCCCCGGCUAACUCCGUGCCAGCCGCCGCGGUAA
rnacentral:rRNA from 1 species